rnacentral:rRNA from 1 species
CGGUAGGCUUAACACAUGCAAGUCGAGGGGCAACACGAGUAGCAAUACUUGGUGGCGACCGGCGCACGGGUGAGUAACGCGUAUGCAACCUACCUUAUACUGGGGAAUAGCUCUCGGAAACGAGGAUUAAUGCCCCAUAGUAUUAUUGAUUGACAUCGAUUAAUAAUUAAAGCUACGGCGGUAUAAGAUGGGCAUGCGUGCCAUUAGGUAGUUGGUAGGGUAACGGCCUACCAAGCCGACGAUGGCUAGGGGUUCUGCAAGGAAGGUCCCCCACACUGGUACUGAGACACGGACCAGACUCCUACGGGAGGCAGCAGUGAGGAAUAUUGGUCAAUGGGCGCAAGCCUGAACCAGCCAAUCCGCGUGCAGGAAGACGGCCCUAUGGGUUGUAAACUGCUUUUAUACGGGAAUAAGGAGGCGUACGCGUUGCGUUUUUUGCAUGUACUGUAUGAAUAAGCAUCGGCUAACUCCGUGCCAGCAGCCGCGGUAAUACGGAGGAUGCAGGCGUUAUCCGGAUUUAUUAGGUUUAAAGGGUGCGUAGGCGGCUUAAUAAGUCAGGGGUGAAAUCUACCAGCUUAACUGGUAGUUUGCCUUUGAUACUGUUGAGCUAGAGUACGAACGAGGUAGGCGGAAUGUGCAGUGUAGCGGUGAAAUGCUUAGAUAUUGCACAGAACACCGAUUGCGGAGGCAGCUUACUAGGCCGUUACUGACGCUGAUGCACGAAGGCGUGGGGAUCAAACAGGAUUAGAUACCCUGGUAGUCCACGCCGUAAACGAUGAUCACUUGCUGUUGGCGAUAGAUAGUCAGUGGCAAAGGGAAACCGAUAAGUGA